rnacentral:tRNA from 1 species
AGAAAGUUAGUCUAACUAAGA